rnacentral:rRNA from 1 species
AGGACGAACGCUGGCGGCGUGCUUAACACAUGCAAGUCGAGCGGAAAGGCCCUUUCGGGGUACUCGAGCGGCGAACGGGUGAGUAACACGUGAGCAAUCUGCCCUUAGCUUCGGGAUAGCUCCGGGAAACCGGGAAUUAAUACCGGAUAUGACUAUGGCUGACAUCAGCCACGGUGGAAAGUUUUUCGGCUAGGGAUGAGCUCGGCGGCCUAUCAGCUAGUUGGUGGGGUAACGGCCUACCAAGGCGACGACGGGUA